rnacentral:rRNA from 1 species
UAGGGAAUCUUCGGCAAUGGACGAAAGUCUGACCGAGCAACGCCGCGUGAGUGAAGAAGGUUUUCGGAUCGUAAAACUCUGUUGUUAGAGAAGAACAAGGACGUUAGUAACUGAACGUCCCCUGACGGUAUCUAACCAGAAAGCCACGGCUAACUACGUGCCAGCAGCCGCGGUAAUACGUAGGUGGCAAGCGUUGUCCGGAUUUAUUGGGCGUAAAGCGAGCGCAGGCGGUUUCUUAAGUCUGAUGUGAAAGCCCCCGGCUCAACCGGGGAGGGUCAUUGGAAACUGGGAGACUGGAGUGCAGAAGAGGAGAGUGGAAUUCCAUGUGUAGCGGUGAAAUGCGUAGAUAUAUGGAGGAACACCAGUGGCGAAGGCGGCUCGCUGGUCUGUAACUGACGCUGAGGCUCGAAAGCGUGGGGAGCAAACAGG